GACGAACGCUGGCGGCGUGCUUAACACAUGCAAGUCGAACGGUAAGGCCCUUCGGGGUACACGAGUGGCGAACGGGUGAGUAACACGUGGGUGAUCUGCCCUGCACUUCGGGAUAAGCCUGGGAAACUGGGUCUAAUACCGGAUAGGACUCCGGACUGCAUGGUCUGGGGUGGAAAGCUUUUGCGGUGUGGGAUGGGCCCGCGGCCUAUCAGCUUGUUGGUGGGGUGAUGGCCUACCAAGGCGACGACGGGUAGCCGGCCUGAGAGGGUGACCGGCCACAGUGGGACUGAGAUACGGCCCAGGCUCCUCCGGGAGGCAGCAGUGGGGAAGAUUGCACAAUGGGCGCAAGGCUGAUGCAGCGACGCCGCGUCAGGGAUGACGGCCUUCGGGUUGUAAACCUCUUUCAGCAUCGACGAAGCGAAAGUGACGGUAGGUGCAGAAGAAGGACCGGCCAACUACGUGCCAGCCGCCGCAGUAA
rnacentral:rRNA from 1 species